GAUGGACGCUGGCGGCGUGCCUAAUACAUGCAAGUCGAGCGAACAGAUGAGGAGCUUGCUCCUCUGACGUUAGCGGCGGACGGGUGAGUAACACGUGGAUAACCUACCUAUAAGACUGGGAUAACUUCGGGAAACCGGAGCUAAUAUCGGAUAAUAUAUUGAACCGCAUGGUUCAAUAGUGAAAGACGGUUUUGCUGUCACUUAUAGAUGGAUCCGCGCCGCAUUAGCUAGUUGGUAAGGUAACGGCUUACCAAGGCAACGAUGCGUAGCCGACCUGAGAGGGUGAUCGGCCACACUGGAACUGAGACACGGUCCAGACUCCUACGGGAGGCAACAGUAGGGAAUCUUCCGCAAUGGGCGAAAGCCUGACGGAGCAACGCCGCGUGAGUGAUGAAGGUCUUCGGAUCGUAAAACUCUGUUAUUAGGGAAGAACAAAUGUGUAAGUAACUAUGCACGUCUUGACGGUACCUAAUCAGAAAGCCACGGCUAACUACGUG
rnacentral:rRNA from 1 species